rnacentral:lncRNA from 1 species
CUUUAUACACAUCCUAUGUACAUGCCACAUUACCAAAGAAAAUAUACAUCACCAAAGUUAUGCUGAAGCCGGGAUUAAUCUGGAUGCUGAACCAGGACCUUUGACUUCUAUCGACCUGCGCGCGGAAACAACCGUACGCUGAGUAUUGCGUACUCAGUGGUAUUACCAUAAUUCAAAUUAUAACAAUAAUAAACAUAUAAUGCAUAAAUCGUAUAUACAAUUUAAAAUUCCAUAUUUCAACAAUAGCAAUUCAUCAAUUGAUAUCAUACAUCCAUAAUUUGAAUUUGGACAUAUCAUGAAUCUUAGGUUCAUUUCUCAAUCUCAUAUCACAUUUCAAUUCACAAUUCAACUUUUUCAUUUCAUUUGAAUAGCUUGUUUGAUCAACUCGUUCAGUUUAUCAUUUCAUUUUUUACCCUAUUAACAAAACUCGGACUUUGGCGGAUACACGGAUCCAACCAAACACACCAAUAUGGCACCCAGUGCCUCAUCGGAUAGUUCGAAGCAAUAGUUGACACCCAGUGUCUCAUCAGCCAAGCUGAAGUAAGUUGGUACCUAGUACCUCAUCGAAUCUAUCCGAAGAAAUAUAGUGACACCCAGUGUCUCAUCGACUCGAGGUCGAAGUAUCCCUGAACUCUUCCAAUCCUAUGGCAUGCCAACUAUAUCCGACUCAGCCCGACUAGUUAAUAGGGUAUUUAAGUCACAUAUAAUCCCAAUUCAAUCACAAUUUCUCAUAUUUUUAAUUCAAUCAUUUUUCCACCUUUCAAUCAAUAAUUAAUCCACAAAUUCACAUAUUUUCACAACUCAAUACAUUUCCAUUCAAUUUAAUAUCAGUCACAAUUCGAUUCAAGUUCACUUCCUGCUUUCAAUCAACAAACAAUUCAAAUAUUAAUUCAUAUAAACUAUUCAAUUUAAUUCCCACUCAUUUUAAUAAUAAUGAUAAUAAUAAUAAUAAUAAUAAUAAUAAUAAUAAUAAUACUUACCUUACAUUUCAUUUACCAACACAUAAAUUAAAAUUAACAUUUAAUAAUAAAUAACUUGAAUUAUAGUAAUACAAACCGUAAAUCUCCCGUUUUAGUCCUCGAUAGCUUUCUCCUUUCCCUUUGAUGCUGAUGCCUCGGGUUCUUUGUUAGCUACGAAAAUAAUAAUAAUUUAUACUAUUAAUUACAACACUAAUUAUAAUAAAUAAUUGAAUUUUCUAGUCAAUUUCUUCCUUAUUCUCAAUUUAAUCCUAACUAAAUUUACUUACUUUCCUAAUUCAAUUCACACUCUAUUUCUAUUCAAAUUUCAUCCAAACUCAAAUUUAACUAUCAAAAUUUCAGCAUAUUUUCCUAAUUUCGAAUUUCUCUAAAUUUAGUCCCUAAAACAUAAAAUUUAUAGUUUCUUUUACAAUUUAAUCCCUUUAUCAAUUCUAACUUAAAAUUCAUUCAAUUUAAUCCCUAAUUCAACAAUUUAUUCAACAUAAACUAUACUUGAAAACCUAUGAACUUACAAAACAUCAACUUAAUCCCAUCAAAACUUUGUUUUAAAGCUUUUAAAACAUUAGAAUUAAGAGAAAAGGGCUAAUUUGACUUACCAAUCAAAGCUUUAAACCUUAAACCUUUAGUUUUUCCUUUUUCUUUUCUUUAUUUCUUUCUUUCUCCCUUGUUUCUUCUCUGUUUCGUCACUUCUAUUCUGUUUCUUUCUUUUCUU